UCUCGGCUUAUCACCGGCAGUCCCCUUAGAGUGCCCUUGCGUAGCAACUAGGGACAAGGGUUGCGCUCGUUGCGGGACUUAACCCAACAUCUCACGACACGAGCUGACGACAGCCAUGCAGCACCUGUGUUCCGGUUCCCUUUCAGGCACACCCGCCUUUCAGCAGGCUUCCAGACAUGUCAAGGGUAGGUAAGGUUGUUCGCGUUGCAUCGAAUUAAUCCACAUCAUCCACCGCUUGUGCGGGUCCCCGUCAAUUCCUUUGAGUUUUAGCCUUGCGGCCGUACUUCCCAGGCGGGGUGCUUAAUGCGUUAGCUGCGGCACCGCAGGAGUCAAAGCCCGCGACACCUAGCACCCAUCGUUUACGGCGUGGACUAC
rnacentral:misc_RNA from 1 species